CAUUUACGUCAUUUACUGAACCGAUUUUUGUGAUAAAAUCUUGUGACUCGUUUUUUUCACUUUUUUUUAGGCAGCGUGGGGUAGACGUAGUUUUGUGGAGUUUCUUUUUAGAAACAUAUAUACACAUAGAUACUUUUUGGAAAGAAGAGAAGCUGAUCUUUAUUUUUUUUAAACUUUUAUGUAUGGUUACUAAACUUUUUAACGGAUUAUUUUGCUCCUGAAUAUUUGGUUGAUGUUUUCACAUAAAUUUGUAGUCGAAGGCAUGAAGUUUCCGCUUUUUUGAUUGUUCAGCCACCUUUAUACAUGUAUUUUCUAUUUAUGUGCCAAAUUUCAACGAAAAAUAUUAGGGAGCAGAUAUGUAACGAGGUGCUUUUUUAAAUAUACUGCUUUUUUGAAGUAGGGUUAGACUAACGUUUUUAGUGGUGUUUUUUUUUAGAAACAUAUAUAAACAAAAAGUAUAUUUGGAAAGAAGAAAGGUUAGGCUUGAUUUUUAUAGUACUUUUAUUUAUAACCACUAAACUUUUUUAUGGUUAGUUUUGCUAAAAACUUUCGUGAAAAUUUCAUUGAUGUUCUCACAUUAAGUUCUUAUCGAAGGAAUGAAGUUUCCGCUUUUUUUGUUAUUCAGGAACUUUUUUGCAUGCAUUUUCUUUGUACAUGCCAAAUUUCAGCCAAAAAUAUUAGGGAGCAGAUAGUAUAAGAAGUGUAGGACUUUUGGUACCUAAAUUCGGUUUUUUUUGUUUUUGUUUUUGUUUUAUCGGUAAGAGAAAUACGGGGAGGAUAGGGGGGGUGGCGAAUGGUAAACAAAAAAAUUCUUACUACAUUGUAUUAUUUAAUUUUUAAUAUUAGAUUAUUUUAAUAAAUAAAAAAUGGUAAAAGUCAUAACAAAGAAGACUUCAAAAAGCCAAUUUGCACAGACUACAGCUGUAUCUACCUCUUGUACUACACCUGGUAAGUUACAUAACUCUUAAUUUUUAAUUUGCAAACUUUACAAUAUGUUUAACUUUAGUUCCUUAGUCAGCUGCUGCAACUAGUAAUUUAAAAAAAUAAUAAAUUUAAUAUGUGUAUGCAUUUCUCGUUAUUUGUAAUAUUGAUUUUUUGUUACAACUUU
rnacentral:lncRNA from 1 species